AUGAUCUGUAUGGGUGACAUGAACGACAUCCUGUAUGAUAUGGACAAGUGCAAUGCUAAUGUUAAUCAGUAUAGGAUGUCUGCUUUUCGUGAUUUAAUUAAAAACUGUGGCUUCUUUGACAUCGGCUAUAGUGGUCCGGCCUACACUUGGCGCAAUAGGCAACACACUGCAAUCCCUAUUUAUCAACGUUUAGAUUGAUGUUUGGUUAAUCCCGAUUGGUGUGCUUGCUAUCCAAAUACGAAGGUGCUUAAUUUACCUAUCAUUCUUAGUGAUCACGCGCCUAUCUUGAUCUCUACUGAUGGUCAAAAAGAAGAAGACUAUUCAACUGGAGUUACAUGA
rnacentral:rRNA from 1 species